UUGGAGGGCAAGUCUGGUGCCAGCAGCCGCGGUAAUUCCAGCUCCAAUAGCGUAUAUUAAAGUUGUUGCAGUUAAAAAGCUCGUAGUUGAAUUUCGGGGUCAGUAGGUUGGUCAUGCCACUGGUAUGUACUGGUCUCACUGAUUCCUCCUUCCUGAUGAGCCGUAAUGCCAUUAAUUUGGUGUUGCGAGGAAUCUGGACUGUUACUUUGAAAAAAUUAGAGUGUUUAAAGCAAGCUAACGCUUGAAUACAUUAGCAUGGAAUAAUGAAAUAGGACGUUCGAUCCUAUUUUGUUGGUUUCUAGGAUUGACGUAAUGAUUAAUAGGGAUAGUUGGGGGCAUUAGUAUUCAAUUGUCAGAGGUGAAAUUCUUGGAUUUAUUGAAGACUAACUACUGCGAAAGCAUUUGCCAAGGAUGUUUUCAUUAAUCAAGAACGAAAGUUAGGGGAUCGAAGACGAUCAGAUACCGUCGUAGUCUUAACCAUAAACUAUGCCGACUAGGGAUCGGAUGAUGUUAAUUUUUUAAUGACUCAUUCGGCGCCUUACGGGAAACCAAAGUGUUUGGGUUC
rnacentral:rRNA from 2 species